rnacentral:ncRNA from 15 species
CUGCCGGUAAAGUGGCGGGGUCGUCAUCACACCCGUACGGGGGAAAGCCGGUGCAAUUCCGGCGCUGACCCGCAACCGUGAGCCGUUCCGCCAGGAACCGGUGAGCCGGAACGCCCCGGGGCGGACGUGACCG